rnacentral:lncRNA from 1 species
UUUAAAAGUGUUCAUGAAUUCCUCUAAAAGAAACAUUUGCUUUUUAUCAACUGAGAUAUAUUCUUUUCAUAUCUCUAUCUACAUGUAUACUCUAACUUGAAGAGUGAAUAUGUAUGCCUACUACUUAAAUUGUUUUAAAUUUUCUGUCAUGAAUGAACUAUAGUACUAAAUAACAUCUAAAAAGUUAGCCUUUCUUCUUUAAGUUGAAUUUCUUCUCUUCAGAAGAUGCAUUGAUUUAAAUAUGAAUGACCAUUCCCAUCAUUCAAUAUAUAGAUUCACCACUGUAGUAGACUCCUGAUCCUUUUUGCUAGGAAAAAGGAAGUCCAUAUAUCCACAGUACUGGAUAUAUGUUAAGUUCUACCUGCUCAGCAAAUAUGCACUAUUUUCUUUCUUUCUUUCUUUUUUUUUUUUUUGCUAUUGCAAGCACUCCUAUUUCCUUUUCCAGAGCCACCCUAUCUCAUUCUCAUGGUUCAAGGGUAUGAAGGUGGCCCAGUGAAAUUCAAUUUCAAAAUAUUUUCUGAAAUUUGGGGAAAGAAGACUUAUUUCUAUUUGUGAUAAUGCAGCUAAUAGGCCAGACAUUUGGAGAUAUAAUGAUCAUCUAGCCAAAUUUGAACAGAAGAGGCUGUCUGCCUUCUUAAGGGUGAAACCAAUAAAGGGAGAAGUAAGAUUAAGACUUGAGAAAAUGCAGGUUCCUGAAUCCACAUUUGAACUUCUGGAGUCUGUCAUUCCUAAAAUUGAAACUAAGUUACCCUUUUCAAAGAAGUUGUAAAUUUGCAAUUUCAGUACAGGGUGUUUUUUUUUGUUUGUUUGUUUUUUGUUUUUUGCUACAAAGAAGGUUUUAAAUAGUUCAAAAAUACUGCUACUAAAGCAUCCUUUAAAUGGAAACAUUCUAUUACAAGAAAAAAUUCAAACUCUCUUCAAUGUGAAUUAUUUGGGAAGGAGUACCAAUUCAGCCUUUAUGGACUGUAAAUUUUCUAUGUUAUAAUAGGUACUAGUGAACUUGGUUUUUCAAUUUGUAGAUUACAUGUGGUUAUUUGUUCAAACACAAUACUUCUAAAAAUUUAACUGGUUUCAAUGAAGAUAUAUUAAUAUGAAAUAACUUAAUAUGAAACUGAGAAACAUUGAUGAGUUUCUUCAGUCAUAGCACAUAAACACUACCUAUAAAAUACAUCAGUGCCAGCUGUAUUUAGUAUUUUUUGAUUUGUGUUUUAUAUCAGCUUUUCAGAGGAAUGUUAAUGCAGUUAUGGAGAAUGUCCC